rnacentral:lncRNA from 1 species
AUAAAAUCUGGGAGCCCAAGCAGCAUAUUUGUGGGAUUUGUCUGACAGAACGCAAUGGAAACAGAGCGUGGCAUUCGCUCCAUCUCCCCCAGAUGUUCCAUAAGUUUCUGCUUCCAUCAGCAAUGUAAGGAAGUGCCCAAUUCCUCCUACCCCCACAUUACUGAGAAUCUUAUCAAAUUUUUUGAUCUUUUCUGAUUGGAAGGAAAAUUGUUUACUCUGGUAUCUUCCUAAGAAACUGUACACUUAAAUUGUUUUGUCUUCAAGGAGAUUCAUAGAAAGGACUCUAACAAGUUUCUGAUAACUUUAAGAUUAUACCAUUAAACUAGGUAAAGGAAGAUUUUCAUGAUUCACUGACUGAGGACAAUCAAAUUCUUCACCACGUAGAACCUAGACAUUGGGUCUUUGGAAAGGACAUCAGAGAAAGACUGCCAUUAAGCUCCAUUGGAAGAGACCAUAUCAAGUUCUUUUCUGCAGCAAACCAUCAGGCUCUCAAGUCUUGGAUCUAUGUCUCUCAACUCAAAAGAGCUCCUCCAGACUCCUGGAACUGUAUACCUAUUGGAGACUCUAAGGUAAAGCUCACCAGGGAAGAUUUCCCCCAGGAGCAGUUGGCAUCCUAGACUUCAACAGCUUUCGUAAGAUUGUGGAUCAAGACUUCUCUGCCAUCAUGAAAGUCUUAUCUUUUCCCUUUCUUCCCAAUUUCCUGCUGUCCCAGUCCCUUUCUUUUACUUAUAGGAAAAUCCAUGGGGCCAUAAUCUGUGGAUGGCUUUAGCUAAGUCUUAUGCUGUAGUGAAAAAACAGAGCAAUUGUUGGGUUUAUGAAGAUAAGCUAGUUUCUACUGAGGAAAGAUUCCAGUGGCAUUCCUGGGGGCUCAGUCUUGGUACUAGCAGGGUACUGGUAGUAUGGAAUUUGAAAGUAAUCCAUAAAAUGAGAAAAAUCUUGGGUUUGACCAACCAGUCCCCACAGAGGUUCAGGUGAGUAGAAGUCAUCUUUUGAAAACACUUAAUAAAACAUCAUGCAGUUUUGGAUCCUGUUUCCUUAGACACUGCCACCAAAUACAUAAAGGAAAUUUCUCAGAGGAAAGAAACAUAUGACAUGUUCAUAGGAGCAGCAAACCAUUGGUUUGCAGGUAGGCUUGGCUUUUCCAAGGUGUUCUAACCUUUAUGCUCUUCUAAUGGUUCUCCAGAUUACUAUGACUUGUGUUAACAAGAUAAUGACAACAUUGGAUACCUCUUUAAAUCAGCAAACUGCAGUUCUUAAUCAUUAUCACCUCCUGAACAAAAACCAUGACCAACGGUACUCAAAUGCUUUUGAGCUGCCUGUAAGGGAGGAGACCACCCCUCAUAUUGUCUUAUGCCCAAUUUCUGCCUCCAAAUAAAGAAGAAGUAAAAACUAAAAGGCAGAAACGAAAUCCACAAGCAGACAGCCCGGUGCCACACCCUGGGCCUGGUAGUUAAAGAUCGAUGCCUGACCUAAUCAGUUAUGUUAUCUAUAGAUUACAGAUAUCGUAUAGGAAAGCACUGUGAAAAUCCCUGUCCUGUUUUGUUCCGAUCUAAUUACCAGUGCAUGCAACCCCCAGUCAUGUACCCCUGGCUUGCUCAAUCGAUCAC